AGAUUAGGCACUCAACAAGAAAGAAACUCCCAUCUGCAUACUAGCUUCAGAAAUGGCAAACCUGGAAUUUCAGACUUCAGCAGCAGUGAAACUCUGAUGGAAGAUAUGGAUCCAAUUUCCAUGUAGGAAACAUUGUGCUGGAGGAUACCCUCCUCCCACCUCCCACCAGGACUUGUUAACAGCAAGUGAAGAUGCAGCAGGACACAGAAACUAAGCUGAUUUUUUCAGCUCUUUUCCCCCUGGAUCCUAACCCAAGAAAUGCUUAGGAAGCCCCUGAUCUGGCCCCUGGCACAAGACUAUAAUUUUCCUGCUGAGGAAGCACAAACAUUUCAAUGUUCCCCAUUCCUCUUUGGGAACUUCUGUGCUGGCACUGUGACGAACUCCCUGACCUCUGUGGAGGGACUCACAGCCUCCACUGACAUGGAUUAUGAGAAACUGAUGCCACAUGUGGCAGCAACAAUGGCACAACCUGAAAAGAAAUUCACAGGUUCUCAAACGUAAUGUAACUGAGCAAAGCUGCAAGUAAUUCCAUGGCUCGGGCUCUCUAAAUGUCAGCUGUGAAGACUCAUUUCUAUUUAGUCAAGACUCAUCCUCAAGUUUUAGUCUAUCUUUGACAUCAAACUUAAACAGCCUUUUCUUGGGGAACUCUUCAAUCUAGAGGCAGUACAGCUCUGGAGUGUGGGACAGGAUUGGAAAAGAUAUAAAAAAAUGCUUAGAUAAAUUUCUCCAUUUUCCAAAAACAUACAUUAUCAUUCCCAUGAAAGAACGAGAGAUUUGCAAAGGAUUCUGGGUGUUCUAGGUAUUUUUCCACUGAGUAAUUCCCAUGUAUGAGAAUCUUCCCUUGGAGCCACACUGGAGACAGAACUUGCUCUAAACUCAAAAUGAGGAAGCCCAGAAUUUUGUAUUUCCAAGGAGUUUGUACACACAGCUCCAGAAUGCAAGGCCUGGGGAAAACAGUGGCCAAUAGCCAUGCAGAGGUGUAUCUAGAGAAGUCCCUGUCACAUCAAGUCCCAGCUGGGGCAGAGACGCUGUCCCCAUCCAGCUGGGAAGAGUGGGGAUGACAAGCACAGCUACCAGCUUCUUUUAGCUAGUUAGCAGCAUGAAAUCUUAAGUAAUUUCUUAGAAAUGCCCAUAACUCUAAACUACUGCAUGGAGAUUGUCAGUUCAUGGCUUUAGGAAGGCCUGCAUGAGCUGUCUGUCCCAAAACCAUAGUAUUACAGGAUCAUGGUAUGGUUUAGGCUGACAUAGACCUUUCAGACCAUUAAGUCUAACUGUUGACCCAGUACUGCCAAAUCCACCACUAAACAAUAUCCCCAAGUGGCACUUACAGGUCUUUUAAAUACCUCCAAGGACAGUGACUCCAACACUUCCCCACAUAGCCUGAGCCAAUGCUUGACAACCUUCCAGUGAAGAAAUUUUUGCAAAUAUCCAUUUUAACUGCCCCAGUGGCAACCUGAGGCCACAACCUCAAUCUCCCCCAAGCCUUCUUUUCUCCAGGUUAAACAACCCCAGCUCCCUCAGCCACCCUGCUCCUCAGAAGAUUUGUGCUCCAAACCCUUUACCUCUAGCUUGUAUCCUCUCUGCUGGGUCGUAUUUCCAGCAGAUAUCUGGUCAGUUGAAGUCCCCCAUAGCAACAAGGGAAAGCAAGUAUGAGGCUGUUUAUAGAAGAUUUUCUUUGGCUCUUUUUCCUGGUUGGGAAUCUAAAGCAGACUCCCACCAUGAUAAUGGCCUUGUUGGCCUUCCUCCUGAUUCUGACCCAGAAACACUCAACCCUAUCCUCACAAUCAUUAAGCCCUAGACAAUCAAUAUACUCCAAACAUAGAGUAUAUUGAUAAUGGCCUUGUUGGCCUUCCCCCUGAUUCUGACCUAGAAACACUCAACCCUAUCCUCACCAUCAUUAAGCCCUAGACAAUCAAAAUACUCCAAACAUAGAAGGCUGCCCCAGUGCCUCCUCUUCCUUACCCAUCCCUUCUGAGGAAUUUAUAGCCAUCCAUUGCAGCAUUCCAGUUGUGUGACUCAUUCCACAAUGUUUCCAUGAUGCCAUGAAAGAGGGUAAAACAUGAAGGCUGUUUGUAUAUAAGACAGCAUUGUACACACACCAAAAAAACCCCAACUCACCACACAUUUUAAAACAGAAGCUAUAUAUUUGUUCUCCACUUGGCUUUAAGGUAGCAAUCCCUUAUCCAAGUGUAAGUGUAUUCUAAAGACGUAAUGUUCUCAUUUACUAUGCUUCUGAAAGAGUUCUCUGUAAGUUCCUUAAUAAAGGGUGCAGAUAAAUAUUCUUGUCAAGCUUACAGGCAGGAGCUGAAGAUCAUCUUUGACUCAACUUGGAUGUACCAGUCUGAACCCUAAAAAUUCUGGUUUCACCUUUUUUGUUCCUGUAGAAACUCUUGGUCUACCAGAGGCAGAUCCUUCAGGAAAGACAGAGCACUGAGAACUUUGGAGUCUCCCAAGUUGUAUCUCCUGACAAUUACCAUCCUGCACAAAGAGACUGCCAUCACAAGCUGUAUCUGCUAUGUUCUGCCAAAACUUUUAGCAGUGAUCUAAAGAUAUCUGAAUCUUUUUUUAAAACAAAUGAUGCAGUGCAACAGAACCUACACUCAAGCAGUAAGAGUAGCUCAUGUAACUGUGCUGAUGGUGACUUCUGAGUACCCUGGAUGCAAGCUGUAAGUUUGGACUGAGAACAUUUUGCUGGCACAAUAUUAAUGCUAAAAGGAACGCCCAUUGGGACAAAGUCAGUUUAAACAAAGCACAUUUUAAAUUCACAAGGGAGCCAGAUGUUGGAGCCAUUUGAGAAUCCAAGCCAAAAGCUGCCAGCAGUGGAGGAACUGCAUGAGGAUCCCUCAGCAGUAAGGUGAGCACUGGUUUGCUAUCAGACUCAACCCCAGAUUUCCCUCAUCAGACUUUUGCCAAUAUGCACAUUUUGUACAUGAUUUGGUCUGUGGAUUGCAAAUCUGCACUUCGGCUUCACAGAUGGUAGGUUUGGUCUUCUGGAUGGAAAUAUUACAACUUGUCUUGGAAAUUUUAGAUCUGGGCUUCUUUUCAAGAGAAUCUCAAGUGUAUGUUCUGUGCAGAAAUGCAUCUAUUUCAUCAACUAGCCAAGCUUACAAUAUUAAAACUCAGCUCCCGUCUUCCUUCUCUGGCAGAAUGUGGCACUGUUGACAUUCUGUCAAAUCCAAAUGUCCUGGGGUUGUAAAUGCAAACCACAGGAAUAGUGACUUGUUAUAAAUCUUUGUAGAGGUGAGGAAUUCAAAGCCACAAAUACAACUUUUCUAGUUAUGUACUAAAAUAAAACUACAUUUUAUGGGGAGAUAAUAUGUUUGAAACUACUUGUGAGGUUUCUAGUAGCAAUGCAAUCCUUAAUUCAUAUUUACAAAACUGCCAUCCUCAUUCUUGGUGAUUCAGUAGAUUGCAAACAUUUUUCUUAAAAAAAGGUAUUUCAAUAAACCUUAAGAUAUAUUUUAAUCAUUUGGAGGUAAAUUGAAUAAUUCUUCCAUGAAAAUGUACUACCUUGACAUGGAAUGAAAUGAAAAAAAAGACAAUUCUAGUUGAAACUUUAUGUUAGGACAUUGGACCUGAAAGUAUAUAAUUAAGUUAUUUUUCUUGCUCUUGCUCUUGCUGUUUUAUUGAGGAAAAGAGUUUCAAGCUAAUACUUCCAUACAGUUAAGGUUUCACAUUUGAUAAUUCAGUGAUUGCUAAGAGCUCUUUCUAAUAGACAGCAACAUGCUCACACUUCAACCUGCUGCCCAAGGUGAAGGGGGUUGGACCUUUAAAGGUCCCCUCCAACCCAAACUAUUCUAUAGUUUGUGAUUGUAAGACUAAUCUGUCACAGACUAGCCUAGACUGCAAAUUCCAGUAAAUACAAAGAAUACAGACAUCACAAUAAUUUUAAAGGAAAAUUGCACAUGCUGGAAAGGAACUAAAUAAUGAAACAGAUGAAGUACAUCAAAUUUGUUUAGGGAACAAAAUAAACAUUUCCUUGUGGGAAAGGAGGAAAAAAAUCUAGGAGAAAUGUUACUUGCAUUGUUCCUUUUAAUAAAAAACCCUCCAAUAAUCCUUCAAUAUUUUGUUAAGAUAUUCUUUCACAUUUCAGGUAUCACUUAUAACUGAAAAUUACAAUAAUUUAUUGUGACAUUAUACAUCCAUAUAUAUCUGUAUUUUAGUCUUUUUUCUCUAUA